UUUUCUAUUUGGAUUUUAUGUUUUUGUGUUAGGUUAGCUUCACUAUGUUAAUACAGUAUGUCCGAAUGAAAGAAAAACUGUAAAGUCACACAAGUGAAGUUGUGCUGA